AGAACUCAAGGCUUUAGAUGCUAUGAACAACUUAAGUCUAUGAAUGACAUGAACAACUUCUUGUCAUGAGCUUAGGGGUCUAGAUGCUAUAAAUAGCCCAGGGUUCUAGAUGUUAUGAACUGCUCAGGGCAGUGGAUGACAUGAACGAUUCCAGGUCAUGAACUAAAGGCUCUAGAUGCUAUGAAUAGCUUAGUGUUGUGGAUGACAUGAAGGAC
rnacentral:lncRNA from 1 species